rnacentral:rRNA from 1 species
UACGAAGGGGGCUAGCGUUGCUCGGAAUUACUGGGCGUAAAGGGCGCGUAGGCGGCUCCGCCAGUCGGGGGUGAAAUCCCACGGCCUAACCGUGGAAGUGCCUCCGAUACUGCGGGGCUGGAGGGAGGUAGGGGCAGCGGGAACUUCGGGUGGAGCGGUGAAAUGCGUUGAUAUCCGAAGGAACGCCGGUGGCGAAAGCGCGCUGCUGGACCUCUUCUGACGCUGAGGCGCGAAAGCCAGGGGAGCAAACGGG